GGGGAUGUAGCUCAAUUGGCAGAGCGCUUGAAUGGCAUUCAAGAGGUAGUCGGUUCGAUCCCGAUCAUCUCCACCA
rnacentral:tRNA from 1 species